rnacentral:rRNA from 1 species
UACGUAGGGUCCGAGCGUUAAUCGGAAUUACUGGGCGCAAAGCGUGCGCAGGCGGUUUUGUAAGCCAGAUGUGAAAGCCCCGGGCUCAACCUGGGAAUGGCAUUUGGGACUGCAAGGCUAGAGUACGGCAGAGGGAGGUGGAAUUCCAGGUGUAGCAGUGAAAUGCGUAGAUAUCUGGAGGAACACCGAUGGCGAAGGCAGCCUCCUGGGCUAGUACUGACGCUCAUGCACGAAAGCGUGGGGAGCAAACAGG